rnacentral:rRNA from 1 species
UUCUUUGGUCAUUUAGAGGAAGUAAAAGUCGUAACAAGGUUUCCGUAGGUGAACCUGCGGAAGGAUCAUUACCAAUAACCACACAGAAAAAGGGGGGCGAAGGGGCCGACAGGAUUAGUAGCUUAUACGUUGUUGAACGUCCUGGCUGGACCCGGAGCCUCCCCCAUCUAAACCCUCUGCGUACCUGUCCCUUCUUGCUUCCCCCGGCAUCUCUCGUCGGGGGGAGGGAACAACCAAAACUCUUUGUGAAUCAAACAGCCGUCAGAAUUACAAAACAAACAAAAAGUUAAAACUUUCAACAACGGAUCUCUUGGUUCCCACAUCGAUGAAGAACGCAGCGAAAUGCGAUAAGUAAUGUGAAUUGCAGAAUUCAGUGAAUCAUCGAAUCUUUGAACGCACAUUGCGCCCCCUGGUAUUCCGGGGGGCAUGCCUGUUCGAGCGUCAUAAAAACCUCCUCCCCCUUCGGGUUUUGUUACUAUCGUUGGGGGGUUUUGGCCUAAUGGGAUAGCGUUUGGCAAUUCGUUUCCCAAUGUCCUAAAUAAACGUAGACCCGCCUCCAGAUGCGACAGCACUGAGGCCAUCAACCGUGGAGUUAUGGGAUAUAUAGGCUUGCAGUAAAAUGCUCACCUCUCUUCACAUGCAGAUGGCACGACAGUUGCAGUUGCGGGCGUAAAUUGGAGCCCUUUUCAGGACCCUCGUGGCCUAGCAUCCACCAUACAUAAUUUGACCUCGGAUCAGGUAGGGAUACCCGCUGAACUUAAGCAUAUCAAUAA